rnacentral:rRNA from 1 species
UUGGUAGAUCGUAGGGAUUGUCGCUGGCCUUUGGAAACGAAGGCAUGUGCACGUUCCGAGUUCUCCUCAGUCCUCCUUUGCCUUUCCUUUGGACGACCUUUCUUCACACCCGUGCACCCAUUGUAGGUCUCCGCGAGGGGAUCUAUGUCUUCAUAAAACUCUACGUAUGUCUAGGAAUGUAUCUAAAGCGUCGACCGGCUUGGCUCGAUGCCUGGUCGGCGACGGUAAAGAACGAAAUACAACUUUCAGCAACGGAUCUCUUGGCUCUCGCAUCGAUGAAGAACGCAGCGAAUUGCGAUAAGUAAUGUGAAUUGCAGAUUUUCAGUGAAUCAUCGAAUCUUUGAACGCACCUUGCGCUCCUUGGUAUUCCGAGGAGCAUGCCUGUUUGAGUGUCAUUUAAUUCUCAACCAUCCCUCGAUUCGUUUCGAGGUUUGGCUUGGAUUUUGGGGGCUGCCGGGCGACCCUAGGGUCUUCGGCUCUCCUUAAAAGCAUUAGCGAUGGUGGAACGAUCUAACUCCAUGCAUGAACGGCCUUCGACGUGAUAAUGAUCGUCGUGGCUGGAGUGCUAGCGGACGUCGUGAAAUUGGCGCUUCUAAA